UACAGAGGGUGCGAGCGUUAAUCGGAAUUACUGGGCGUAAAGCGUGCGUAGACGGUUAUGUAAGUCGGGUGUGAAAGCCCCGGGCUCAACCUGGGAAUUGCAUUCGAGACUGCAUAGCUAGGAUGCGGAAGAGGGAAGUGGAAUUUCCGGUGUAGCGGUGAAAUGCGUAGAUAUCGUAAGGAAGACCAGUGGCGAAGGCGGGUCUCUGGACAGUUCCUGACGCUGAGGCACGAAGGUCAGGGGAGCAAACGGG
rnacentral:rRNA from 1 species